UACAGAGGGUGCGAGCGUUAAUCGGAAUUACUGGGCGUAAAGGGCGCGUAGGUAGUUAAAUAAGUUGAUUGUGAAAUCCCCGGGCUUAACCUGGGAACUGCAAUUGAUACUGUUAGACUAGAGUACUGUAGAGGGUAGUGGAAUUUCCGGUGUAGCGGUGAAAUGCGUAGAGAUCGGAAGGAACACCAGUGGCGAAGGCGGCUACCUGGACAGAUACUGACACUGAGGCGCGAGAGCGUGGGUAGCAAACAGG
rnacentral:rRNA from 1 species